rnacentral:lncRNA from 1 species
CCAAGGCUUCUGUUGGGUUUAGCAAGUUGUGAGCAAAAGCUGUUGUCACACCUCUGAAGAAAGUGAUGCCAUGGUCAUCUUUCCACAGCGAGGGUUGGACAUACUUUAACUGAGUGAUCGUACUCCAGGAUGCUCUCUUGAUUGAGCUGCGUGGGGGAGAUCUUAUCUCUACACGCCACCAGCAGCCAGGAGAUACCCAGAGAAAGCUCCAUUUUGGGUACAGAAUGAGUUUAGGGACUCUCUAUGGAGAGUCUCUGUAAGAUGGUGUCUGGGCCCUGAGCAGCCUCAUCUGGAGACUCCUACUUGCCUCAGUUUUGGACAAUGGAAAGACGGAAAGAAAGUUUACUUUUCUGUGGCUUUCUCCCUUUUUUGACCUAUGAAUCAUAGAAAGCAGAUGUAAUUUUUAUUUACAUAUGUCGUAUGUUGCCUUUGAGACUUUGGAAAGAAGAUAGAAUUUGAGAGUCACCUCAAGGGGACUCUUCAUUCCCUCGUGUCAACUUGUCACUGAGUCAGGUCAAGGGCACAGCCCAGGGAGAGGCGGCCCUGGUCAGGUCAGCACCCAGAUGGGUUGGUGCAGCUUAAGGGCCCAGGGAGCUCUGUGCAGCUUCAUCCCCAGCUGCACAGAGCAGGAUGCACUCUGGGGGCGGCACAUGAGGCACUGCGGGUCCAGCUCUGGUGCAAACAGAGAGUGAAGGGCUGCAUCUGCCUGUUAAACGCUGCAUACAGUACAGAUCUUCGUGCUGUUGGAAGAGAACUAUGGUUCACUUAAAACUGAACAACAAACCCACUACAAACUUGUAAACUGGAAUCCUAAUCUUCAGAGCAUUCUCAUUCUUUAUCGCUCUGUUCGUUAUAGAAGAAAGCUCCCCCUUGGAUCCCUC